CAUACAUUUACAACUCCUGCUAUAAUUAUAUAAUUAGAGGAGAGUUAGCACAAAGUAUGAGAAACAACUCAGAGAUGUCAUGAGGUCACUCAAGGCAUGAUCAAGAGGAAUAGUUUGGUUAAUGUUUGAUGUGUAAGAGGGUAUGUGCAUAGGUGAAGAUUGAAAUUGGAAGAAAAAAUGAGGAGGGCAUGUAGGAAAAUAUGGCGAUCAGUGCCAUGAACAAGCAGAAAAAGCUUGCGAACUGAGUCUAGGAAGGAUAUGGAGGAGAUUCUGAGGGCUAAGCUUUCAACUAUUAAGGAAGAGCCAGAAUUGUGUGAGGAGAAUUUGACAUCACCGAUGCAUGUGCGUAUGGCAAAGAAGCAGGUGAAGAAGGUACAAGCAAAAGAUAAAUCAGUACGUUGUUUAGCACCUCAUGUCAAACUGAAACACUCUUAUGUUCUAUUCAUUACAGGGUUUGCCUCAAAAGGCACCUUUGCUGGUUAGCUUCAAUGCUAAUCUCAAUCUUCUCACUCUGUUCCAAUAACAACAUAUAUAAGUCCUCUUCUUCGCUAAGUCCAGAAUGCAAGGAAAACAUCAUUAGAAAGUCCUCGACACAUAGCAUAAAAGUUAAAAAUGUCUGACUAGUGGAUGGAAACAGGGUCACUACCAAGCAUAAUAAUGCAGAGCAAAAAUGUUGAUUAUGUCAAAAGGAAUAAGAAAAUGUUCACUUCUCUAUCAAAAAGGAUGACACUUCUACAA